AAACACUUUUUCCUGUAUAAAUUACCCCGUCUCGGGUAUGUCUUUAUCAGCAGCGUGAAAAUGGACUAAUACAAUAACUUCACCACAUACCUUUCAUAGUAUAAUGCAUUUAUAUGUAGCUAUCACCCUCUACCCUCACUCCUCCAACCACUACUAAAAACUCUUCAAGGUCAAGGGCUUUACCUUAUAUAUCUUUGUGUCCCCUGUAUUGCAGAAUACCCAUCCCAUAGAUGUACUUGGGAUAGACAGCUUCUGGCACUCCUCCCAAGAUCUCUCCCUCCUGGUUACAAAAACCUGAGACUUCCAUUUUGCUGGAAACUUCUUUUCCUCUUGCACACUCACUCUGCGACUCUGUGUGGAGAGCUCCAUGUGACAAGGGAGGUCUGCAGCCUAAGCAACUGAGACCUCAGCCCAACAGCCCUCAAAGAACUGGAUCUUCAAACAACCACAUGAGUGACCUAGAAGCAAAUCUGUCACCAGUGCUCUUGAGACGGGCUGAAGUAUUUAAUCACCGGCACAAAAUGUCCCAGUGUUCUGUUCUCCUGCUGUGGAAAUUUUAGAGAAAAGAUCAUGAUCUAAGAGUCUACAAGACCAGAGCAGCCUGAAUUGCUGAGCUGCCUGGUGGAGAAUAGCAGCAUUGGGUGGUUCCCAGGAUUCUUAAAAGGACUUUACAAAGGCCUGGCCUAAUCACUUAAGAGCUCUUAAGGAGUGAAUGGGCUCUUCCUGAAAAAAGAGCUUCUGCUAACCCUGAAAAGCAAGCAACAACCCUGUGAACUGCUAUGGAGAGAGAUGGCCUCUAACAGCUGAGGACCUCAGUCCUACAACCACAAGAAACUGAUUUCUGCCAACAACAUGAAUGAACUUGGAAAAGGCCCCUGAGCUCCAGAUGAGAACACCCAGGUCAACUCAGGUCAUGAGCAGAGAACCCUGUUAUAUUCUCCUUGGCUUGUGAUCCAUAAACAAUGAGAUUAUAAAUGUGUGGUUUUUAAGCCAUUAGGUUUGUGGUAACUUGUUACACAAGCCUCUUUUAGAUUCUUUACAUACACAAAUAUAUUCUAAACGAAUAAUGAGUCUUCCUUUCCCAUCUUUAUACCAUUUACUUCUUAUUCUUCCCUUACCGCUUUAAGACCUCUAGUAUAAAGUUGACUAGAAAAGGUGGUAGUGGCAUUAUUGUGUAGUUCUUUAUAUCAAAGGGAAGAUUUUCAAUGUUUUCAUGUUAAGUAUGACAUUUACUGUAGGUUUUUCAUAGAUGCUCUUUAAUCAGUUUAAGCAAUUCUUGUCUAUCCCUAGAAUUAUUGUCAGGAAUAAAUGUUGACUUUUAUCGAACACUGUUUCUGCACCUUUUAAAAAUAUCAUAUUUUUUCCUUCAAAUGGUUACUGUGUUGAAUUAUAUUAGCAGACAUUCUAAUGUUAAAGUAACCUAUCAUUCCAGAGAAAAGGAGGUGAGAAUAGCAGUUUAGUUAUGAUGCUGUAUCCCUUUUAUAAAUUCUUGGAUGCAAUUUGCCAAUAUUUGGUCUAAGAUUUUUGCAUUAUGUUAAUGACUGGAAAUGAGUCUUAAUUUUCCUUUAUUUUUCUGGCUUCUUUGUGUUUCGAUAUCAAGAAUAUGCAAGUCUCAUGCAAUAAAUUCUAUGGAAGAGUU
rnacentral:lncRNA from 1 species